rnacentral:lncRNA from 1 species
GAACUGCCCGUGGAAGAUCAUGGGUUAUAGGUGGACCAUCAUACUCCAUAGCAAAGCAGUAUUCUACUCCAUCAUCAACCACAGUUGGCGACAUAUUGAGAGGAAAAAUCAGAGCCCCCCUCAAAAAAUAUCAAUUUUUUUACUUAAAUACACAGCAACAGUAUAAAACAGAGAAAAAUGUCCAACUUGAGAGUGACCCCUCAAAAAAUAUCAAUUUUUUUUACUUAAAUACACAACAACAGUAUAAAACAGAGAAAAAUGUCCAACUUGAGAGUGAAGUCCCUCAACAACUAUCACUGACUAUUAUUUAUAGAACAAAUACAACAAUGGAACAGAGAGAGGCUGAGAUGGCUAGUAAAUAAAGAAGUAAAUAUGUAAUCUUGCUGAAACAGCCAAAUGCCCCCUUUUAAGAUUUGAAAAGUAAACCUAACCCAGAAAUACCAAACAGAAACUGAAGCUUGACAAAGAAAACUGAAAUCUCUCAACAAGUAUAACUAAUUGCUACUUAUUUACAGACCCAAAUAUGAAGUGGAAAGAGAGAAACUCAAAUGGGUUAAUUGAUGAAGACAAAAAAUACAAUCUUAUUGUAUCUGCUACAUGCCCCUUUCUAAGAUUUCAGAGAUCAACCAAACCCAGACUGGAGAUACUGAGUAGAAACUGAAGCUGACAAAGAAAAGUGGAAAUGAGAAAAGGAAUUUGAAGCAAAGGUAAAAAAGAAUCAGAAGGAGAAGACAAUAGGAAUGGUAUUAGGGAAAAUACAAAGCUUGGGAUGGAGGAAAAAUGUGUUGGAAAAGUAGAGAAAGUGGGGGAGGGGGUAAGUGGAGGAAAAAGACAACAAAAGGAGAGGUAUCCAAUAGUGGUGGACACUGUUCUGUAGUGGCAUCUUUUUUUUCUCUCUUUCUUUUACUUUUCGCCUUUUUUUUUCCUCUCUCUUUGUUUGAUGUUGUUGCCUUUGUUGAAACUUGGAAGAAAGGUUGCGUCUUCGGCUAGUGUGUCUGGGUUUGUCGAUCUAGUGCGUGUGAGAGAGAAGAGUAGAGUACUUACGCUUGUUUUGGAGUUUUGGAUGGAAUUGGGCCACUUGUCUUCUACCUCGUGAUUGGCAUAUAAACAUGUUUUGCUUUUAACGAUAAAUGGACUCAUCCUUCCAGAUUUUU